GCCAGCGCCUCGGUCCUCUGGGUUGCGAAGUGUCAGAUCUGACUCAGUCCCAGGGUCUUGGCGCGGCUGAACGCCUCUAGGGUGGCAGAGGGCCUUUUCUUUUCAUGUCGCGCCACACCACAAGAUAGCCAGUGCCUCCCUAUGGCGGCUGCCUGGCUCUGCUACACAAGGUGACUGCGUAUAACCUUGUGUGAUCCUCUACCCUGGAAUCCAAACUGGACCCUUGACUUCACUGAGCCGGCAGAAGAAUGUAGUGAAGAGAUAAUGGGUCAGUUCCAGCUCUGACCUUAACUUUUUGUUGUUUGCUUUGGGUUUUAUUUAUUUAUUUUUUUCUGGAGAUGCUCCUGCUCUUCCAGCUGGGAAAGAUUCGUGCAGAGGACAAGUGGAGAGGAAAUGCCCCAGGCAUUUGAACCUUGUGAGCCCUUCCUAACUGGAAGAAUAUACCUGUGCAGAUACUUCGGAAUUUGGACAUCUGUUUCUGGGAAGGAAAGAAAACCUCAAAUGCACCUAUGGGAGUUUUCUGAGUAUCCUGAGGGUACAGGAGUCUAAGAACAUCUUCUCAGACCUGCCCCAGUUGCAGGCUCAGGUCCUGACCUUCCCCCUCUGGUAGAACUGAAGCACACAGCAGCCUCGCUCCAGCUCCAAACACUCUAGCACUGGGCAAGCACUGGACAAGCACUGGGUUCUAGUCUUCACAUUUAUCUGUCUCCUCUCCUCUUCCCACCACCACCCCCUGCAGUGUCCUAGCUCCUGCCUGUGGACAGGAAAGUAAGUGCUUAGCUUCUGCUCCAGUACCACGUCUGCCUGCCUGCCUGCCACCACACUUCCUGCCAUGAUGAUCACAGAUUCGCCCUCUGAAA